GCCGGGUGCGGUGGCUCACACCUGUAAUCCUAGCACUUUGGGAGGCUGAGGUGGGCGGAUCACCUGAGGUCAGGAGUUCAAGACCAGCCUGGCUAACAUGGUGAAACCCCAUCUCUU
rnacentral:SRP_RNA from 2 species